UACCUGCUUGAGAAACAUACUUCUUUAUAUGCCCAUAUGAACCUGGCAAGCUAUGGAAUGUAAAGAAGUAUGUAUUUCAGGUGGGGAUC
rnacentral:pre_miRNA from 1 species